rnacentral:rRNA from 1 species
GAUGAACGCUGGCGGCGUGCCUAAUACAUGCAAGUCGAGCGAACAGACGAGGAGCUUGCUCCUCUGACGUUAGCGGCGGACGGGUGAGUAACACGUGGAUAACCUACCUAUAAGACUGGGAUAACUUCGGGAAACCGGAGCUAAUACCGGAUAAUAUAUUGAACCGCAUGGUUCAAUAGUGAAAGACGGUUUUGCUGUCACUUAUAGAUGGAUCCGCGCCGCAUUAGCUAGUUGGUAAGGUAACGGCUUACCAAGGCAACGAUGCGUAGCCGACCUGAGAGGGUGAUAGGCCACACUGGAACUGGGACGCGGACCAGACGCCUACGGGAGGCAGCAGUAGGGAAUCUGAGGCAAUGGGCGAAAGCCUGACGGAGCAACGCCGCGUGAGUGAUGAAGGUCUUCGGAUCGUAAAACUCUGUUAUUAGGGAAGAACAAAUGUGUAAGUAACUAUGCACGUCUUGACGGUACCUAAUCAGAAAGCCACGGCUAACUACGUG